rnacentral:rRNA from 1 species
GAUGAACGCUGGCGGCGUGCCUAAUACAUGCAAGUCGAGCGAACGGACGAGAAGCUUGCUCCCCUGAUGUUAGCGGCGGACGGGUGAGUAACACGUGGAUAACCAACCUAUAAUACGGGGAUAACUUCGGAAAACCGUAGCUACUACCGGAUAAUAUUUUGAACCGCAUGGUGCAAAAGUUAAAGACGGUCUUGCUGACACUAAUAGCUGGAUCCGCACUGGAUUAGCUAGUUGGUAAGGUAACGGCCUACCAACGCAACGGUGCAGAGCCGACCUGAUAGGGAGGUUCGCCAAACUGGAACCGAGGCCAGGGCCAGACUCCUAAGGGAAGGCACAGUAGGGAAUCUUCCGAAAUUGGGCAAAGGCUGACGGAGCACCGCCGCGUGAGUGGUAAAGGUCUUCGGAUCGUUAAACUCUGUUAGUAGGGAAGAACAUAUGUGUAAGUAACUGUGCACAUCUUGACGGUACCUAAUCAGAAAACCACGGCUAACUACGUG